rnacentral:lncRNA from 1 species
AAGUGUAGGACUUAGCAGAGAUUGGGGCGGUGAGUAGCUCUUAGUAAGACAGCUGUCAGGAAGGAUUAUACUACCAAGUCUGCUAAGUAAGCAGUGGCCGAAAGUGAGCAGCUUAAAGAAACAAAACUGGUGGUGGCUAAGAGCAAAACAAAAGCUGUCUUCCUUUCUUGCUUUCUUUCUAAAACAGAAUCGAGUGAGUGAGACGGAGUGCGAGGAAAAGAAUUUGCGAGCUUCACCAUCAGCUAACCAAGAAAAUUAUACAAACGAAGGCAAGGGAACUGGGAAGUCGAGGGAUAGGACCUGAGGAGUUGGAAUAGCAAUUCUAGCAGUAUGCGACAAGAAACCUUAGGGAUGUAACUCGCUGAUUAGAUAGUAUAAUUAGCUAAACUUGAGCUGCAGGUAGAGCUAGCUAAGAACUUAGUUUCUGGUGCGAGAAAUGUUAUGCAGAAACUGUGAAAAUUGCAGAAACUGGAACUUAUAACUGUUCUUAAUAUUUCUUAGGAUGAUAAUGUUAAGAAUCUGCAAUAACUUCAUGCUGACUCGGUAAAAAUGAAUGAAUGAAUACGCUGCAUAUAGUGUUUGAGUAGAGAACUGA